AUGUGAUCAAACAUGUUCACAUUUCUCUUCACUGUUACUGUCUCACUGCUCUGUGCUGCAGGUCUUGUUGAGGGGAGUGGAGUCACUCAGACACCCACCAUACUCUGGGAACUGAAAGAACGUGAUGCUCUGAUGAACUGCAGUCACACUAAGGGAUCUGGCUACUUCCAGAUGUACUGGUACAGACAGCUUCCAGGAGAGGGAAUGAAGCAGGUAGUCUUCAUUACUCCCAGUUCUCAACCUGACUAUUCAGGGGAAUUCAGUAAAGACAAAUUCUCAGCCAGCAAGGCUGUAGCUGAGAGUGGAUCUUUCACAGUGAAGAAGUUGGAGACAGGAGACAGUGGAAUGUACUUCUGUGCUGUGAGUGAACACAGUGAUACAGACAACAAGUACAGCUGCACACAAACCCCAGUAUUUCAACAGGAUGUAACAUAAUAUGUAAAGAGAUGGUCUCAUCACAUACUGUAGGGGGACCUCUAACUCUAGUUCUUCUAAUGUCUGAUGGUCUCAUCAUAUACUGUAGGGGGACCUCUAACUCUAGUUCUUCUAAUGUCUGAUGGUCUCAUCACAUACUGUAGGGGGACCUCUAACUCUAGUUCUUCUAAUGUCUGAUGGUCUCAUCACAUACUGUAGGGGGACCUCUAACUCUAGUUCUUCUAAUGUCUGAUGGUCUCAUCACAUACUGUAGGGGGACCUCUAACUCUAGUUCUUCUAAUGUCUGAUGGUCUCAUCACAUACUGUAGGGGGACCUCUAACUCUAGUUCUUCUAAUGUCUGAUGGUCUCAUCACAUACUGUAGGGGGACCUCUAACUCUAGUUCUUCUAAUGUCUGAUGGUCUCAUCACAUACUGUAGGGGGACCUCUAACUCUAGCUCUUCUAAUGUCUGAUGGGUUCAUUGUCAUGAUCAUGUAAUCAGUCAUGUUCACAGUGAGGCCCUAUGAGCAGGCUUUACAGUACAGGCUUCCUGACACUCCCUCUAACACUGUCACUAUCCACCACCCUGAAGGAAACAUGCUACUACAACAGCCAAUCUCCUUUCACCUCAGAGCUUCACCCAGGAGACACUCAUAUCACCUCCUCAUCAUCAUCGUCUUCCUCAGCAUAUUCAUCAUCUUCAUCAUUAUAUUUUUCUUCAUCAUGAUGUUCAGAGUUCUGAUUCACCUGGCAGCUCUACCACUCUGGGUGACAGGGCAGUUGUUUAGUAGCAUGGUUCAUCAGAGGCCUGUGGCACUAACAGAAGGUCCUGGAGGAGACGUUCAACUCACCUGCAGCCAUACGAUCCCUAACUACUACGUGAUACUAUGGUACAAACAGUCAGCAGGAGACACUGCUAUGAAACUCAUUGGUUAUGCAUAUACCAAGUCAAUAACCAUGGAGAAAUCAUUUGAAAAGCACUUCAAUGUGAGUGGAGACGGUGGGAAAGAGGCUUAG
rnacentral:lncRNA from 13 species